GACGAGCCACACGAACGUUAUUCGGAAUUACUGGGCUUAAAGGGUGCGUAGGCGGUGCGGAAAGUUGGGUGUGAAAUCCCUCGGCUCAACCGAGGAACUGCGCCCAAAACUACCGCACUCGAGGAAGAUAGAGGUGAGCGGAACUUACGGUGGAGCGGUGAAAUGCGUUGAUAUCGUAAGGAACACCCGUGGCGAAAGCGGCUCACUGGGUCUUUUCUGACGCUGAUGCACGAAAGCUAGGGGAGCAGACGGG
rnacentral:rRNA from 1 species